GGUGGUGGCUCAGUGGUAGAGUGCUUGCCUAGCAUGUGUGAGGUACUGGGUUCAAUUCUCAGCACCA
rnacentral:tRNA from 1 species